CGGCGGCGGCGGCUGCGCGGGGCGGAUGGACGGGGCGGCGGGGCCGCGGUGAUGGUUAAUCUUCAGAGAGUAUCCAGAGGGAAAGCAGGGGUUUUGCUCAAGUUUACACCGUGGUUUUGUUCUGUGCACAGAGAAACAGGCGCGUCCUCUGCCCCGGAGAAGUUCUGGGCUCUGUAAAGGAAGGAAAACCAGCCAGGAUUUGGGGUGACAGCUCAGCUCAGCACAGGAGGCAUCCUCAGGCCCUGCAUUUGAUGUGAAAAUGACCAAGCUGGGGUUUCUCCGGCUCUCCUAUGAGAAGCAGGACACGCUGCUCAAGCUCCUCAUCCUGUCGAUGGCAGCUGUCCUGUCUUUCUCCACAAGACUUUUUUCUGUCUUAAGAUUUGAAAGUGUCAUCCAUGAGUUUGACCCGUAUUUCAACUACCGCACCACCCGCUUCCUGGCUGAGGAGGGCUUCUACAAAUUCCACAACUGGUUUGAUGACCGAGCAUGGUACCCCCUGGGCAGGAUCAUCGGGGGAACCAUUUACCCAGGCCUGAUGAUCACAUCAGCAGCGAUAUACCACGUGCUGCACUUCUUCCACAUCACCAUCGACAUCCGCAACGUCUGCGUGUUCCUGGCUCCCCUCUUCUCCUCCUUCACCACCAUCGUGACCUACCACCUCACCAAAGAGCUCAAGGAUGCAGGGGCAGGACUCCUUGCUGCUGCCAUGAUUGCUGUUGUGCCUGGAUACAUCUCUCGAUCUGUUGCUGGCUCCUAUGAUAACGAAGGUAUCGCCAUAUUCUGCAUGCUCUUGACCUACUACAUGUGGAUCAAGGCUGUCAAAACUGGCUCCAUCUAUUGGGCAGCCAUGUGUGCCCUCGCCUAUUUCUACAUGGUCUCCUCGUGGGGUGGCUACGUCUUCCUGAUCAACCUCAUCCCCCUGCACGUCCUGGUGCUGAUGCUCACCGGGCGCUUCUCCCACAGGAUCUACGUAGCCUAUUGCACAGUCUACUGCUUGGGAACCAUCCUCUCCAUGCAGAUCUCCUUUGUUGGCUUCCAGCCCGUCCUCUCCUCAGAGCACAUGGCUGCCCUCGGAGUCUUCGGCUUGUGCCAGAUCCAUGCCUUCGUGGACUACCUCCGGAGCAAGCUGAACCCGCAGCAGUUCGAAAUCCUCUUCAGGAGUGUCAUUUCCCUGGUCGGCUUCGUCCUCCUCUCUGUCGGGGCCGUGCUGAUGCUCACAGGGAAAAUCUCCCCGUGGACGGGGCGCUUCUAUUCCCUGCUGGACCCUUCCUAUGCCAAGAACAACAUCCCCAUCAUCGCCUCUGUCUCUGAACACCAGCCCACCACUUGGUCCUCCUACUACUUCGACCUGCAGCUCCUUGUUUUCAUGUUCCCAGUUGGUCUCUACUACUGCUUCAGCAACCUCUCAGAUGCCCGUAUCUUCAUCAUCAUGUACGGUGUGACCAGCAUGUACUUCUCUGCUGUCAUGGUGCGUCUCAUGCUGGUGCUGGCUCCAGUGAUGUGCAUCCUGUCUGGCAUCGGGGUCUCUCAGGUCUUGUCCACCUACAUGAAGAACCUGGAUAUCAGCCGGCCAGACAAGAAGAGCAAAAAGCAGCAAGACUCCACCUACCCCAUUAAAAAUGAGGUUGCCAGUGGCAUGAUCCUGGUCAUGGCGUUCUUCCUGAUCACCUACACCUUCCACUCCACCUGGGUGACCAGCGAGGCCUAUUCCUCCCCCUCCAUCGUUCUCUCUGCCCGGGGUGGGGAUGGCAGCAGGAUCAUCUUUGAUGACUUCCGAGAAGCUUAUUACUGGCUGCGGCACAACACGCCGGAGGAUGCCAAGGUGAUGUCCUGGUGGGACUACGGGUACCAGAUCACUGCCAUGGCCAACCGGACCAUCCUGGUGGACAACAACACCUGGAACAACACGCACAUCUCCCGCGUCGGCCAGGCCAUGGCAUCGACAGAGGAGAAAGCCUACGAGAUCAUGAGGGAGCUGGACGUCAGCUAUGUACUGGUCAUCUUUGGUGGCCUCACCGGGUACUCAUCGGACGACAUCAACAAGUUCCUGUGGAUGGUGCGGAUCGGGGGCAGCACGGACACGGGGCGCCACAUCAAGGAGCACGACUACUACACCCCCACCGGGGAGUUCCGGGUGGACCGCGAGGGCUCCCCGGUGCUGCUCAACUGCCUCAUGUACAAGAUGUGCUACUACCGCUUCGGCCAGGUCUACACUGAGGCCAGUGAGUCCCUGAGUCACCCCGGGGCAUGGCUCUGCUUCUGGGGGGCCCCACUGCACCCUGACCUCUCUGGGCUGCGAUGCAGCAGCACUGCCUGUGCUUUGCCCUCUCCUAGAGCGACCCCCAGGCUACGACCGGGUGAGGAACGCCGAAAUCGGCAACAAGGACUUUGAGCUGGACGUGCUGGAGGAGGCGUACACCACAGAGCACUGGCUGGUCCGAAUAUACAAGGUGAAAGAUUUGGACAACCGCGGGUUGUCAAGGACGUAGAGGAGCCGGCGCUGGCCGCACCCAACACCGCACUGACCCAGCCUUGCCUGUGCAGCAGAGAUUUGGGGGUUUGGUGGGCUUUCGAGGGGGGCUCUUUCGGGUUUGUUUUAUACCGUUUGUAAGCGCAGGCAGCAGCGGGAUGACCCUGCCCGCCCCAUCCUGCCGGGAGUGAUUUUUAUAUACACACGGAGCCGUUGCCAAAUCGGGAGUUGCGGCUCUCACCGGGGCUGAUUGACCAGGAAUUGUGAAGAAUACCAAUAAAUAAAAAUUAAUUUGGUGGGUUUCUCCCCGAGUUCUGUCA